AUCAAUAAGCGGAGGAAAAGAAAAUAACAAUGAUUUCCCUAGUAACGGCGAGUGAAGAGGAAAGAGCUCAAAGUUGGAACCUGUUUGGCUUAGCUAAACCGGAUUGUAAACUGUAGAAACGUUUUCCUGGCACGCCAGAUAAAUAAGUCCUUUGGAACAGGGCAUCAUAGAGGGUGAGAAUCCCGUCUUUGGUCUGAGCUGUUGUCUUUUGUGAUACGUUUUCAAAGAGUCAGGUUGUUUGGGAAUGCAGCCUAAAUUGGGUGGUAAAUCUCACCUAAAGCUAAAUAUUUGCGAGAGACCGAUAGCGAACAAGUACCGUGAGGGAAAGAUGAAAAGAACUUUGAAAAGAGAGUUAAACAGUAUGUGAAAUUGUUAAAAGGGAACCGUUUGGAGCCAGACUGGCUUGAUCGUAAUCAAUCUAGGUUUCGACCUGGAUGCACUUGCGGUCUAUGCCUGCCAACGACAGUUCUUUCUGAAGGAUAAAACUAGGAGGAAUGUGGCCCCUCGGGGUGUUAUAGCCUUCUAGAUAAUACUUUGGAUGGGACUGAGGAACGCAGUGAAUGCUUAUGGCGAGAUUACUAGGCGCUUUUGUUAAUGGAUGUUAGAAUUUCUGCUUCGGGUGGUGCUAAUGUCUUGCGAUAAAACUCGUUUGGAUAAUUUUCUAUUCACUUAGGUUGUUGGCUUAAUGACUCUAAUGAC
rnacentral:rRNA from 1 species